rnacentral:rRNA from 1 species
UGAGUAACCUGCCUUCAGCUUUGGGAUAACCCUCGGAAACGGGGGCUAAUACCGGGUAUUCACUCUGGGUGGUAUCGUUUGGGGUGGAAAGUUUUUCGGCUGGGGAUGGGCCCGCGGCCUAUCAGCUUGUUGGUGGGGUAGUGGCCUACCAAGGCGACGACGGGUAGCCGGCCUGAGAGGGUGACCGGCCACACUGGGACUGAGACACGGCCCAGACUCCUACGGGGAGGCA